GACGAACGCUGGCGGCGUGCCUAAUACAUGCAAGUCGAACGCUUCUUUCCUCCCGAGUGCUUGCACUCAAUUGGAAAGAGGAGUGGCGGACGGGUGAGUAACACGUGGGUAACCUACCCAUCAGAGGGGGAUAACACUUGGAAACAGGUGCUAAUACCGCAUAACAGUUUAUGCCGCAUGGCAUAAGAGUGAAAGGCGCUUUCGGGUGUCGCUGAUGGAUGGACCCGCGGUGCAUUAGCUAGUUGGUGAGGUAACGGCUCACCAAGGCCACGAUGCAUAGCCGACCUGAGAGGGUGAUCGGCCACACUGGGACUGAGACACGGCCCAGACUCCUACGGGAGGCAGCAGUAGGGAAUCUUCGGCAAUGGACGAAAGUCUGACCGAGCAACGCCGCGUGAGUGAAGAAGGUUUUCGGAUCGUAAAACUCUGUUGUUAGAGAAGAACAAGGACGUUAGUAACUGAACGUCCCCUGACGGUAUCUAACCAGAAAGCCACGGCUAACUACGUGCCAGCAGCCGCGGUAAUACGUANGUGGCAAGCGUUGUCCGGAUUUAUUGGGCGUAAAGCGAGCGCANGCGGUUUCUUAAGUCUGAUGUGAAAGCCCCCGGCUCAACCGGGAAGGGUCAUUGGAAACUGGGAGACUUGAG
rnacentral:rRNA from 1 species